CUUCUGAAGUUCCCUUCCAGAGCUGGGUUCAUUUGAACCCAUCCAAGCCAGGAAACAAAACCGGGAGUCAAGGUUCUGAUCAAAGAGCACCCACCUUCAGCCUGAAAAAACCUGAGCUUUCACGUAUCUUGUGCUAAAAAAAGGAGCGUAUGAUAGCAGUAUCUGAAGGGAUGGCACAAAGAAACUCGGUGUGAAGCACGGUUCUCACAGCUGCAGGUUUCUGAAAGGAGAGCAGUACUGGACUCAUUUCACCCCCAAACAGGGUUUACAGACCACAUGCCUGCCAGACACGGAACGCCUCCUGCCACGCACUGAGGUCCUGCAGCUCUUGAGAACACAGGGAAACGUCUGGGCUGACCUACGCCGAGGGCAAGAGGCAGCGGGACCAGAACAGCCAGACCUCAACCCCUUUGUACCUGCCUUGAUGUCUGUCA
rnacentral:lncRNA from 1 species